rnacentral:lncRNA from 1 species
AUAGAUAAGGAGUAGUCCUAUGUCAUUCAUGAGACUGAGUUCAGAAUAUCAUGAUGGUAAGGUAAAUAAUGGAAAAGGAUUUCUAUAGGAUUUCACUUAUGAACUCGAGUCGAUUGAAUAUUAUAUAUGACAAACGAUGAGGUUUGACGAGUUAUCCAUGACCUCCAUCUUGUUGGGACUCAUGAUAGAAGGAUCGAAUCACACGAUAAUUAUAUCUAAAGGUUUAAUAUUUUAUUCUGUUGGAUUAUCACUACAUAUUAUUAGAUGUCACUGGAGGAUUGUGAGACUCGUCGAAUAUCAUCUUGAUGAUCGAUGAUCCUUAAUGGAUAGAGUUGGAAUCGUUUUAAUCCAUCAAAAAGAGUUUCAAUGAUAUUAUGAUAGAAAUUACAGUAUAUCUCACUAUCAGACAG